rnacentral:rRNA from 1 species
GACGAACGCUGGCGGCGUGCCUAAUACAUGCAAGUCGAGCGAAUCAACAGGAGCUUGCUCCUGUUGAUUAGCGGCGGACGGGUGAGUAACACGUGGGCAACCUGCCUGUAAGACUGGGAUAACACCGGGAAACCGGUGCUAAUACCGGAUAAUCCUUUCCCUCUCAUGAGAGAAAGUUGAAAGUCGGUUUCGGCUGACACUUACAGAUGGGCCCGCGGCGCAUUAGCUAGUUGGUGAGGUAACGGCUCACCAAGGCGACGAUGCGUAGCCGACCUGAGAGGGUGAUCGGCCACACUGGGACUGAGACACGGCCCAGACUCCUACGGGAGGCAGCAGUAGGGAAUCUUCCACAAUGGACGAAAGUCUGAUGGAGCAACGCCGCGUGAGCGAUGAAGGCCUUCGGGUCGUAAAGCUCUGUUGUUAGGGAAGAACAAGUACCGGAGUAACUGCCGGUACCUUGACGGUACCUAACCAGAAAGCCACGGCUAACUACGUGCCAGCCGCCGCGGUAA